rnacentral:ncRNA from 2 species
CUUACAAUCGCGCCCGUUGGUGCCCGUGCCGGUGUUCACGCCGGCACAGUUAAACGGGAAGCAGAGGUUGCUCGACCGCCCCGGUCGCACGGCCCACCUGCGCUGCCCCCGCAACGGUAAGCGGACGAAGCCGAUCGGCUUCAAUCCCUGCGCAUUUGCCACUGGAGCGUCGCCGCUCCGGGAAGGUCGCGGGGGUCGUUCCGCCAGCCCGGAUACCGGCCAACAGGGCGGCGCCGCG